GAUGAACGCUAGCGGGAGACCUAAUACAUGCAAGUCGAACGGUAAGGUCCCUUCGGGGAUACACGAGUGGCGGACGGGUGCGUAACGCGUACGAAACAUACCUUCAACAGGGAGAUACCUCCGGGAAACUGGAAAUAAUACCCCAUAGUAUUGUGACAUCGCAUGAUGUUACAAUUAAAGCUUUGGCGGUUGAAGAUUGUCGUGCGUCUGAUUAGCUAGUUGGUGAGGUAACGGCUCACCAAGGCGACGAUCAGUAGCUGGUCUGAGAGGUUGAUCAGCCACACUGGAACUGAGACACGGUCCAGACUCCUACGGGAGGCAGCAGUAGGGAAUAUUGGACAAUGGGCGGGAAGCCUGAUCCA
rnacentral:rRNA from 1 species